UACGAAGGGGGCUAGCGUUGUUCGGAUUUACUGGGCGUAAAGCGCACGUAGGCGGAUUGUUAAGUCGGGGGUGAAAUCCUGGAGCUCAACUUCAGAAUUGCCUUCGAUACUGGCUUUCUAGAGGCUGGAAGAGGUUAGUGGAAUUCCCAGUGUAGAGGUGAAAUACGUAGAGAUUGGGAAGAACACCAGUGGCGAAGGCGGCUAUCUGGACGGUUUCUGACACUAAGACGCGAAAGCGUGGGGAGCAAACAGG
rnacentral:rRNA from 1 species